CCUACGGGAGGCAGCAGUGGGGAAUAUUGGGCAAUGGGCGCAAGCCUGACCCAGCAACGCCGCGUGAGUGAAGAAGGGUUUCGGCUCGUAAAGCUCUGUUGGUAGUGAAGAAAGAUAGAGGUAGUAACUGGCCUUUAUUUGACGGUAAUUACUUAGAAAGUCACGGCUAACUACGUGCCAGCAGCCGCGGUAAUACGUAGGUGGCAAGCGUUGUCCGGAUUUAUUGGGCGUAAAGCGAGUGCAGGCGGUUCAAUAAGUCUGAUGUGAAAGCCUUCGGCUCAACCGGAGAAUUGCAUCAGAAACUGUUGAACUGGAGUGCAGAAGAGGAGAGUGGAACUCCAGGUGUAGCGGUGGAAUGCGUAGAUAUAUGGAAGAACACCAGUGGCGAAGGCGGCUCUCUGGUCUGCAACUGACGCUGAGGCUCGAAAGCAUGGGUAGCGAACAGGAUUAGAUACCCGGGUAGUC
rnacentral:rRNA from 1 species